CAGCAGCCACGGUAAUACAGAGGGUGCGAGCGUUAAUCGGAUUUACUGGGCGUAAAGCGUGCGUAGGCGGCUUCUUAAGUCGGAUGUGAAAUCCCUGAGCUUAACUUAGGAAUUGCAUUCAAUACUGGGAAGCUAGAGUAUGGGAGAGGAUGGUAGAAUUCCAGGUGUAGCGGUGAAAUGCGUAGAGAUCUGGAGGAAUACCGAUGGCGAAGGCAGCCAUCUGGCCUAAUACUGACGCUGAGGUACGAAAGCAUGGGGAGCAAACAGGAUUAGAUACCCCCGUAGUCCCUGUCUCUUAUAC
rnacentral:rRNA from 1 species